AGCACAGGAGUGCCUGGUCUGGGCAAUCAGCUUCUGGGAUAGUUUGACCUCAUCCUGCCUGACCACUUCUUCCUCACUUGGACUUCACUGAGGCAGACAAUUUGCUUUUCCUAACACGGCCAAGGCUCCAGUUAUGAUUUCAGAUGUGGGAAGUGGAGUCUAGUUGGCAGCACCGUAUUUUGAAUACCUGAAGAAGUUUGUGACUUAAAGACCAAGAAGCCCAAUUUAAAGCUUUAAGAGAUAAAGACGGCCCAGCGGCUCACAAAAUGGAAAUAUACCCCAGGAGAGGAAACAAGUGGGCUCAGGAGUUCACAAGGCUAUCAAGUGAAGAAGCAACAUGUAUCAGCAGGGCCACAUCUUACACAUCAUGCCGGACUGUAUCCAGUGCAGCAAGGAAACUGCCACCAUCUGCCCACCCUCCAUGGUCACAGAUAUUUUGUGGGCUAAGUGAGCAAUGAUAUUUGCCACAUAACCAACCUAAGACGGUGAUGGUGAAAUACAAGGCCGUCAGAGUGCUGGGAAAGGAACCCAGGGCUUCUGAUCGACACUAGGCAGCACCUACAUUUGACUAACUGUUCGACUAUCAACUGAGACGAGGCUAGUGGGCUGCUGUGGACUCACAGCUGUCGACUGCCAACCACACUUUCCAUUGUGUCUGAAUCAAAAGCUGUCUCAGAGGGGAAGUCAUUAACACUUGCUGCACUCUGAGGUUCAGGGUGCUAUACGAAACACGUCCACCGUCAGAAUCAAUACUCAUGUCUAUCACCUCCCAGCCUCUAGUGAAGGGAAGCAAAGUCUAAAUAAAUGAAAUUAAAAUGCUCAGAGCCACGCUCACACACACCCAUACCAUGACAGUUUCCUUAGAGACAUUUAUGUCUAUCAACACGUCUUAUAAAUGGACGCUACUUCAGUAAAUGUUUAAUUACCCUGGAUGAGUCUGAAAUGGCAUUCUCUCUCUCUCUCCUCUCUCUCUCUCUCCUCU